rnacentral:lncRNA from 1 species
UGCCAGUGCGUAGUGUGCAGCACAAUAGUGAAGGUCAUAGUUUUUCCACCUGAGAAUUUUUGGUUUAUUAUUUUUAAGAGAUGGGGUGAUGAUUAUGAUGAAGAAGGUGAAGAAGCAGAUGAGGAAGGGGAAGAAGGAGGAGAUGAGGAAAAUGAUCCAGACUAUGACCCAAAGAAGGAUCAAAACCCAACAGAGUGCAAGCAGCAGUGAAGCAGGAUGGUCUACCUUCCGCUUCCCUG